rnacentral:sRNA from 1 species
CUCAACAUAUCGCUUCAUUGUCCUCACGAUUUCGUCAACAUGUAUGACCGUAACCAUAUAGUUGACCCCCCACUGGCAUCUCUGUGUGAGAGAGGCUCUACGUUCAACAUAACAUCCACCACCCACAACGUGUUCAUCAACUUCAGAACUGAUGGAAUAGAUUCAAGGAAAAAAGGUUUUGUGGCAUAUUAUUCUAUUCACGGUCAAUAUGGAGACUACUGUACAAGCGCAGACCAAUGCCCAGUUGAACUUGUCUGUAACGCUACAAACAAAUGUGACUGUUCAAAAAGUGAAAAGUAUGAUUUAAAAUCCAAAAUAUGCAAGAAAGCUCUGAUACACGGAGAACCAUGUGGUGUAAAUUCCGAAAGAUAUUGUCUUUUAUUUCUGGAAUGUAUCCCCGACAGCAAGGGCGUAUUCAGGUGUUUGUGUCCAGACCACACUUAUUUCAAUAUAGACAAAUGUCAUCCAAGUAAGUUUAAAGGAGUAUUUCAUGUAUAUAUAUAUAUAUAUGUGUGUGUGUGUGUGUGUGUGUGUCU